GUGAGUCAUCGAAUCUUUGAACGCACCUUGCACUGUGUGAGCAAUUGCACAGUAUGCCUGUUUGAGAAGCAUCAAGAAAAAGGUCCUGUUUAGGGAGUUGUUGGGCGAUGCAGUCUGUAUCCCCGAUUAAAGCGAGUAUGGGGGAGGUCUGACCAACGCUUGGACAAUCUGUGUGUCAGGGCGCAAGCCAUGUCGCAGUGAGUUCAAAGGAGGUCAGACAUCACUCAAUUCACAUCAUCACCACUUUGCUCUCAAAUCAGGUAGGACUACCCGCUGAACUUAAGCAUAUCAAUAAGCGGAGGA
rnacentral:misc_RNA from 1 species